UGGGGAAUCUUGCGCAAUGGGCGAAAGCCUGACGCAGCGACGCCGCGUGCGGGAUGACGGCCUUCGGGUUGUAAACCGCUUUCAGCAGGGACGAGGCCGCAAGGUGACGGUACCUGCAGAAGAAGCCCGGCUAACUACGUGCC
rnacentral:rRNA from 1 species